CAGUAGCCGCGGUAAUACGUAGGUGGCAAGCGUUGUCCGGAAUUAUUGGGCGUAAAGCGCGCGCAGGCGGCCUCUUAAGUCUGAUGUGAAAGCCCCCGGCUCAACCGGGGAGGGCCAUUGGAAACUGGGAGGCUUGAGUAUAGGAGAGAAGAGUGGAAUUCCACGUGUAGCGGUGAAAUGCGUAGAGAUGUGGAGGAACACCAGUGGCGAAGGCGACUCUUUGGUCUGUAACUGACGCUGAGGAGCGAAAGCGUGGGGAGCGAACAGGAUUAGAUACCCGGGUAGUCCCUGUCUCUUAUAC
rnacentral:rRNA from 1 species